UAUGUGUGUGUGGUGAUAAGUUGCAGAUGUUUGUGCAACUAACUAUAAUAUAAGUAAAAAUAUAUGAUAAAAUAUAUUUCUAUAUAUUUGUGAAUGUUAUGUACAUGUAUGUUUG